rnacentral:tRNA from 5 species
GGGCGCGUAGCUCAGUGGCAGAGCACAUUCCUGAUAAGAAUGGGGUCGUAGGUCCGAUUCCUACCGCGCCCACCA